UUGGCAUUGGGUUUACGGGCGAUAAUGCCAUUGCCAACCGCGUGCAGCAGGUGAGUUUUACCCAACCCGGUACCGCCGU
rnacentral:antisense_RNA from 1 species